rnacentral:rRNA from 1 species
GUAGGGUGCAAGCGUUAAUCGGGAAUUACUGGGGCGUAAAGCGUGCGCAGGCGGUUUUGUAAGUCUGAUGUGAAAUCCCCCGGGGGCUCAACCUGGGGAACUGCAUAGGAGACUGCAAGGCUAGAGUGUGUCAGAGGGGGGUAGAAUUCCACGUGUAGCAGUGAAAUGCGUAGAGAUGUGGAGGAAUACCGAUGGCGAAGGCAGCCCCCUGGGAUAACACUGACGCUCAUGCACGAAAGCGUGGGGAGCAAACAGGAUUAGAUACCCUGGUAGUCCACGCCCUAAACGAUGUCUACUAGUUGUCGGGACUUAAUUGUCUUGGUAACGCAGCUAACGCGUGAAGUAGACCGCCUGGGGAGUACGGACGCAAGAUUA